ACGAACGCUGGCGGCGUGCCUAACACAUGCAAGUCGGGCGGAGACAGUGAGUAGCUUGCUAUGAGCUGUUUUAGCGGCGGACGGGUGAGUAACGCGUGAGCAACCUUUCCCAGACAGGGGAAUAACACACCGAAAGGUGUACUAAUACCGCAUAAGACCACGGUUUCACAUGGAACUGAGGUAAAAGAUUUAUCGGUUUGGGGUGGGCUCGCGUCCGAUUAGGUAGUUGGUGAGGUAACGGCCCACCAAGCCGACGAUCGGUAGCCGACCUGAGAGGGUGAUCGGCCACAUUGGGACUGAGACACGGCCCAAACUCCUACGGGAGGCAGCAGUGGGGAAUAUUGGGCAAUGGAGGAAACUCUGACCCAGCAACGCCGCGUGGAGGAAGAAGGUUUUCGGAUCGUAAACUCCUGUCCUUGGAGACGAGUAGAAGACGGUAUCCAAGGAGGAAGCCCCGGCUAACUACGUGCCAGCAGCCGCGGUAAUACGUAGGGGGCAAGCGUUGUCCGGAAUAAUUGGGCGUAAAGGGCGCGUAGGCGGCUCGGUAAGUCUGGAGUGAAAGUCCUGCUUUUAAGGUGGGAAUUGCUUUGGAUACUGUCGGGCUUGAGUGCAGGAGAGGUUAGUGGAAUUCCCAGUGUAGCGGUGAAAUGCGUAGAGAUUGGGAGGAACACCAGUGGCGAAGGCGACUAACUGGACUGUAACUGACGCUGAGGCGCGAAAGUGUGGGGAGCAAACAGGAUUAGAUACCCUGGUAGUCCACACUGUAAACGAUGAAUGCUAGGUGUAGGGGGUAUCGACCCCUUCUGUGCCGCAGUCAACACAAUAAGCAUUCCGCCUGGGGAGUACGGCCGCAAGGUUGAAACUCAAAGGAAUUGACGGGGGCCCGCACAAGCAGCGGAGCAUGUGGUUUAAUUCGACGCAACGCGAAGAACCUUACCAGGUCUUGACAUCCACUUAAACUUACAGAGAUGUAAGGUGUGCUUGCACAAAGUGAGACAGGUGGUGCAUGGUUGUCGUCAGCUCGUGUCGUGAGAUGUUGGGUUAAGUCCCGCAACGAGCGCAACCCCUGUCCUUAGUUGCCAGCAUGUAGAGAUGGGAACUCUAAGGAGACUGCCGUAGAUAAUACGGAGGAAGGUGGGGAUGACGUCAAAUCAUCAUGCCCUUUAUGUCCUGGGCUACACACGUACUACAAUGGGUGUAACAGAGGGAAGCAACACAGCGAUGUGAAGCGAAACCCAAAAAGCACCCCCAGUUCGGAUUGAAGGCUGAAAUUCGCCUUCAUGAAGCCGGAAUUGCUAGUAAUGGCAGGUCAGCAUACUGCCGUGAAUACGUUCCCGGGCCUUGUACACACCGCCCGUCACACCAUGAGAGUCGGGAAUACCCGAAGCCUGUGAGCCAACAUAUUUAUAUGAGGCAGCAGUCGAAGGUAGAAUCAAUGAUUGGGGUG
rnacentral:rRNA from 1 species